rfam:TPA: Bos taurus chromosome 12, whole genome shotgun sequence.
UCUCUGGUGGCUCAGAUGGCAAAGAAUCCACCUGCAAUGUGGGAGACCUAGGUUAGAUCCCUGGUUUGGGAA